rnacentral:lncRNA from 1 species
AUUAUCUUCUUCCACCCAUUGAAUUAAGAUAAUCUCUUUCUUGUCUUGCAUAUUCUUGUGGAAAACCAUACUCCAAUUUGGUUAUUGUGAUUAUAUUUUAUUGUUUAGAAGAAGUUCUUGUGUUAUAUUCUUGUGUAAGACUUCAAGAUAAUCUUGAAGAUAAGGAUCAAGGAGCUUGCAAACACUUAGAACAAUCUUCAUAAGGAGG